CAAUCCAGGUCGGUUUCUAUCUAUGCAGCUGCCUUCUUCAGUACGAAAGGACAAAGAAGGAGGGACCCAUGCCACAAGCACGUCCUAGCCCAAUAACUGAACAAAGCUAAAGUUAAACAACUACCACCACGACCAAAGAUCGUGGUCU
rnacentral:rRNA from 1 species